rnacentral:tRNA from 1 species
GGGGCCUUAGCUCAGCUGGGAGAGCGCCUGCAUGGCAUGCAGGAGGUCGACGGUUCAAGUCCGUUAGGCUCCAC